UUAAGUUCAGCGGGUAUUCCUACCUGAUCCGAGGUCAACCUUAUAAAGGGGGGGGUCUUUUCCAACCACCGAAAUGGUGAAGAAAAGGGCGACCGGGGCCUGAAGUCCCUGAUCCGAUACAUGCCCAGUUAAAGAGGCUCAGCGUACCGGGGUCCAACGGAGGCCACCGUCAUUAUCUUUAGGAGGGGUCGACUCGCGUC
rnacentral:misc_RNA from 1 species